rnacentral:rRNA from 1 species
ACAGCAGUCGCCGCGGGAAUACGUAGGUGGCAAGCGUUGUCCGGAAUUAUUGGGCGUAAAGCGCGCGCAGGUGGUUUAAUAAGUCUGAUGUGAAAGCCCACGGCUCAACCGUGGAGGGUCAUUGGAAACUGUUAAACUUGAGUGCAGGAGAGAAAAGUGGAAUUCCUAGUGUAGCGGUGAAAUGCGUAGAGAUUAGGAGGAACACCAGUGGCGAAGGCGGCUUUUUGGCCUGUAACUGACACUGAGGCGCGAAAGCGUGGGGAGCAAACAGGAUUAGAUACCCCUGUAGUCCCUGUCUCUUAUAC